rnacentral:lncRNA from 1 species
AUUUUUUUUAUAAAUGUUUCAGGUUUUUUUUCAAAUGGUGCAGAAACAAAUGUUUAUAUAUAUUCUUUUAAUACAUUUACUGUUAAGUAAAUUGAUUCCUUGGACAGAUUGUCUUUUUCUCAGGUCUCUAACAGUUUGCAAUUGGUGCAUAACUACAGUGUGCCAUGUGAUACUCUCCUCUAGACACCUACAUACAUGUAUAAUACAAAUCUGAGGAUUCUUCUCCUGGGACCACAGGCACUCGUCUCAGAUCCCCCUCCCCCCCCUAUAUACCGUUAUAUAGGUACGAAAUGUAUAUAUAAAAAAAAAUCUGGGACCCCUUAUUCCUGUAAAAUGAGAUUUCUUUCCUAAAUAACAUAACAUUGAAUUGUGAACGUUUUUUCUGCCUGAUCACUUAUUUUCAAGGGACAGAAACACUACCGGGGUAUUUGCAAACUUUGUACUUGGACAUGAAGAAAUGUGCUUGAUCAUCAUGAUCAUGUUUAUG